rnacentral:lncRNA from 1 species
AAUCCGCUUUGUGAGGCUGGGGCUCCUCACUGUCUCUUACAUCAGUUGACCCCUCCUCAGAAAAUGGAUAAACACACUCUGUCUGGUGUAUUCAUACAGUGGGUUCCUAACUCCAAAAUAAAAUGGAAAGAACUAUGGAUUCAUGCAACAACACAGAUUAAUCUAAAAAUCGUUAUACUGACCAAAAAGAGAGGCACACAAAAACCUACCUAAUGCAUGAUUCCAUUUAUAUGAAAUUCUAGAGAGGGAAAAACUAAGCUAUACUGUCAGAAAAUAGAUCAAUUGAUGUUUGGAGGUUCCGAUGUUUUGGACGUGUGGAGGGACUGAGAGCAAAGGGGCAAAAGGGAAUUUUUCGGAUGAUGAAUACUAUUAGAUCUGUAUCUUAAUUACUUUGUUAUGUACUCAAGUGAAUCUAUUGGUCAAAACUUACCAAAUUCUACACUUAAAAUAGCUACAUUUUAUUUUACAUACAUUUUACCUCAAAGACUGGAUUGGAAAAAAAAUGAAGAGUAUAAAGAAUAUCAUCCUAAAGUCCUUGUUUUGCAAGCAGAUUUUGCUACACAGUUGAAAUUGACCAUUAUCAUGGCAGAGAAGGCUAACUCUUCUUUAUAACUGUUAUGAAAAUAUUUAAACACUAAAAAAAUCAUUUGGAAAAGAAUAACACUAAGUCGGGGUGUGGCAGAGAAUGAGAAGACAGCAGAGGGGAGGAACAAGGCAAGAACGAAGCAAUCUUGGGUGCAGAAAAGGCUUGGUGAAUAUGAGGGCGAAGUCACAGGCCCUAUUAGGAGUAAUCUCAACAUCCGCCUGAAGGGAAUUUCGUGGGCUGUGGACCCCAACUCCCGGGACCCAUGUGCCUGGACUGCGGGAAUCUGAUCUAGGCCAGAUCCCCUCUCCCUGGAGCAGGCGGGUCAGCACAGAGAGAGAGCAGCUCAUCCCUUAGAGAGGACCACUGAUGGGAGCUCAGCCCUUAGGGAGGACCACGGAUGGGGAGGCGGCCCUGGCUCCUCCCAGUUGGCAAGUCCUGAUUUGCUCACUGCUGUGAUCCAGCUGUGACUCUGGGUUCAGUCCAUCUCUCCCCUCACAAUCCUUCAGGGAUUCUUCUCGUAAAGGUGAGAUUUGGCUGUUCUGGCCUUCCACAUAAGUGGGGACAUGCAGCAUGCACUGUUUCUGGUGUAAGGCCUCUUCUAAUUAGUAAGAUGCUGUUUCGAUUCAUCUCUAUUGUUGCCCAUUAUCAGGGAUUCUUUCCUGGAUAGCUGAGUAGUAUGAAUACUUCACAAUUUGUUUUUCUAUUCUCUUACGGAUUGGCACCAGAGGUAUUUCCCGGGUAGGUGAAUGUUUAGUUUUAUGAGAAACUGUGACUGUCUUUCAUAGCAGCGGCACCAUUUUAUCUUCUCACUAGAAGCAAGAAGCCUUCCAGGUGCUCCCCAUCCCAGCGAGCAUUUGGAGCUGUCAGACUUGCGAUCUUCACCCUUUCUGGUGGUUGCAUAAUGGUCUCUCUCACUGUGGUUCAAUUUUAAUUUCCCUGAUGGCUAAUGGUGUUGAACAUUUUUUAAAGGGCUUAGUGAACAUUUGUGAAUCGCUUUUUGGAAAGGGAUUGUUUAAAUGUUUUGCCCAUUUUUUAUUGGGUGGUUGGUCAUAUUAUUAUUAUUGUUAUUAUUCUUAUUACUAUUUAUCCUAACGGGAAAAAGAGAUUCAGCAGGAACAGCAAAAGGAGAGUUAGAAUUUGGGCAUCUCGUUUCAUGAUCAAUAUCUCGUGCAGGGAUGGGUAUAGGGGCAGACAGGGUUGGGGGCCUGGCAGGCAGGUCAGCCAAGUCAGUGUCCAGUAAUAAGGCAGGAGCUGGGAUGUGCAAGGUGCAAGUGGCAGGGGUCUCUGCAGUGCUGCAGCAGGCAGGAAGGAAGAACAGGCAGGCUGAUUGGCACUGCAGUCUGAAGUGGCCUCAGUUUUAUCCUCCAACACCUCGUGGUUCCGUUGGAGCUCAGCUUUCUCCUCCAAGCCUAGGUCCUCACCAAUGACUACGCAAGGAACCCAGGAGAUGGAGGCAGCUUUUCUCCUCCCAAAACACUAGCAGUGGCGGCAGCAAGGGGCGCAGACAUUUUCGUUUACAGAGCCUACAACUGGCAGAUGGCUUCGGAAAGUUCCUUCUUGACGGAGUAUCUGAAGCUUUGUUCCCUGUGUCCCCUCUGACUUCAGUGAGGCUGGAGAGCUGGGUGGAUGGCCUUCGUCCAGCUUUUGCUUUGUCCACCUCUUUGGCAGCAGGGGUAGGUUGAGAAUGGGCCACACAGCCCCCUACAUUCAGGUCAGUCCUCCACAGAGAGGGGCGGCCUCCAGGAGGGCUUUAAGAGCUGGGGAUGACAUGGCCUUUGGUGAAUGUGUAACAGCUAGAUCUUAAGUCAGCAUGAGGGCAGCCAGCUUAGGGAAAGGAAGCAAUAUUGAAUUACAGCCCUGCCUCACUAGUCUCUGUGAAUAUGUUCUCGCCUGCAUGUAGCCUAGGUGAUUAAGCACCUCUCACUUUUGCAGAAUACAUGAUCUGAUAGUUCUAUGACUCUUGCUUAUGUCUAUUUCCCAGCCGUGGUAAGACAAUAACUGUUCUCUGAGUUCCUCAGGAACAUGACGACUUCCAGGAAGAAAAAUCCUGCAUUGGUACCCAUCACAAAUGACAGAAGAAAGAAAGAAUGUGGCGCCUUGAAGUUCGUCACACGGGAUGGUCAACACCCACAAACCCCCUCCUUCACUGUCGGUUUCCCCUAUAUAACUGCCUCAAGAUUCUGUAUGAUUUGAGCAUGCUUCUUCAGGACACCAGUCCACCAUCUUCCGAUUAUGCUUAGCUAAUCAGAUAAAUUCUUUCCUCAACCACUGGCUUAUUUGCAAUUGAUUGGCACCAGGCUGCAUCGAGCAGGAGCCCCUUUUUGCUCGGUUAUAAAUGGGCUCAGAAGAUGUUUUCACUUUCUUAUUCAAGGUGUCUCCUGGGAGCUGGGAAUGGAGGUUUCCCUUGGAGGCCCAGGACUGCGCCGGAAGGAAGUGAGGGCCGCACCACCCCUGCGGGGUCCAGGGCCCUACCUGCUGAAGGCCCCCUCUCACUGCUAUGGGGGCCAGCGAGGAGCACUUCUCUGACGGUCCAUCCUGUGCUAUUUUUCUCCUCUUCUCUGCUCUUCCUUUUGUAGGAUCUUCAGGUGUGUCCCCUUUAGGCAAAGAUCUAGUGGCGACGGGAUGGCCCAGGCCUCGGAGAGGAGGCUGCCUGCUCAAGCGCCAAACGGAAGAGAGUCAUUUUGCAUCCUGGAGGAGGAAUUGUGCCCGUUCCUGAGGAGAGGAGCAACUUGGAAGAGCAAGCAGACAGCAAUGGCUUCUGAGACCCGAAGGUCAGACACACACACACCGCACCAAGGCAAGGACUCACAGAGAGGAGCACUGGGCCUGCCAGACCAGACCUUAGCUUAGCCUCUUAGCCGCAGUGUAAAAUAGGGGCGAUAAGGACCCGCGACUGCAGUAAACAGCCCGAACCAGGCCGGGAGGGUUAUUUAGACCAGACAGGAACGGAGCGGGGCGGGCGGGUGCGAGGCUUGUUGAGGAACGUGCCCCCGAGGAGCAGUUUGCGCGCUGUGGGAUCCUUGGAGAGGACUGGGACCCUCGGGGAGGUCUCCUGGCUGCCAGCUCUCCGCGCUAGGCACACACCGUCCAGCCGGCUGUGGUGAGACACCGUUGGAACGGGUGACAGAGACAGGGCGCGCGAGCCUAGGGCAGGAGGAAGUAGCGACAAAGGGCAAAGGGAGAGGUCCAACGGCCCAACCCCAGGUGGCCUCGACCUCCCCGGGACUCCGCGCAGAUGUGAAGUAUUGCGGGGGCUCACCCUCAUAUGUGCCCCCCACAAUGUAGGGACUCUUUGGGUCUGCGGCUGCUCGACCCUGCAGCGCCUGGCCCGGGGACAGUAGCUUCUGCGAUCAGUGUCCAAGCAUCCUGCAGCUACUUCCCCGGGGUCACCGGAGGGAAGAACCUGCUCAGAGUCAGAGGAGCAGCCCAGCUCCAGGGACCAACAAUUGUCAGCAUACACCAUCAGGCCUUUCUCUUCUAAUUGAGCCUUGAGGCCAACCGCACUGUCUGUGAUGCACAGCAGUAAAAUGUGGAGUACAUGUACAGACAAUGGACAUCAUUUUCCAGUUCCUGAUCUUCGGAGAAAAGUGUUCAGUGUGCCGCUAACUGAAGUUUUGUUUUUGAUGUGCACAUUACCACAUAAAAGAAAUUCCCUCUAAUUUCCACUUUGUUAAAAGAUUUUUUUGGAAGGAACAUUAAAUUUCGUCAAUUAAUUUGUCCACAGCUAUUGAGAUAAUCACUUGGCUUUACUCCUUUAUUUUCUGAAUAUGAUGAAUUACAUUGAUUUUUUCAUAAUCACUUUUUUGAGCUAUAAUUCACAUACCAUACAAUUCACCCAUUAAAGUGUAGAAUUCAAGGGCUAUUAGUAUAUCCACAAAUAUGUGCAAAAACCACCACAGUCCAUUUUAGAACAUUUUCAUCACCCCAGAAAGAAACCCUGCGCCCCUUAGCUAUCACCUCCCAAUGCCCCUGUGUCCCCUUGUCCCGGGCAAACGCUAAUCUACAUUCUGCGUGGAAAAUCUCUGGACUUGCCUAUCUGGAGGUUUCAUGUAAAUGGAAUCAUAGAAUUUGUGGUCCUUUGUGGUUGGAUUCUUUCACUUAGUGUAUUUUUUUUUUAUUGUAGUAACAUAUACGUAACAUAAAAUUCAUCACUUUCAUAAUUUUUAAGUGGCAUUAGGUACAUUCACAUUGUUGUGUCACCAUCACCAGUCUCCAUCUCUGGAACUUUUUCCUCCUCCCAAACCAAAACUCUGUACCCAUUGAACAAUAACUCCCCUCAGCCCCUGGGAGCCUCUAUUCUACUUACUGUCUAUAUGGAUCGGCCUAUUCUAGGAACCUCGUGGAAGUGGAAUCAUACAAUAUUUGUCCUUCCGUGCCUGGCGUAUUUCACUUGACAUAAUGUUUUGCAGGUUUAUUUUGGAUGGAGCAUGGAUCAGAAUUUAUUUCUUUUUAAGGCUGAAUAAUAUUCCAUUGCAUGUAUAUAUGACAUUUUGUUUAUCUGUUCAUCUGUCGAUGGACACUUGGGUUGUGAAUGUCUUUUUGGCUAUUGUGAAUAAUGCCACUGUGAACAUGGGUGGACAAAUAGCUGAGUCUCUGCUUUAAAUUAUUUUGAGUAUAUACCUAGGAGUGGAAUUGCUGAAUCAUAAGGUAAUUCUAUGUGUAAAUUUUUGAGAAACUGCCGUAAUGCUUUCCCCUCAGCUGCAUGAUUUGUCACUCAAACAAGCAAUGAACAAGCACUCCAAUUUCUCCACAUCCUUGCUGACAUUUGUUAUUUUCUCUUUCAUUGCUAACAGUCACUCUAAUAGAUGUGAAAUGGUGUCUUGUUUAGGAUUCAGUUUGAAUUUCCCUAUGAUAAGUGAUGCUGAACAUCUUUUCAUGUGCUUGUAAUUUGUAUAUUGUCUUUGGAGAAUGUCUGUUCAAUGCCCAUUUUUCAGUUGGUUUAUUUUUUUUUGUGGUUGAAUUGUAGGAGUUCUUUAUACAUUUUGGAUAUUGAUCCGUUAUUAGAUAUAUGGCUUGCGAAUAUUUUCUCCUGCUCUAGAGUUGCCUUUUCAUUCUCUUGAUAGUGUAUGUACAGAAGUUUUAAAUUUUGGUGUGAAGUCUAGUUUAUCUAGUUUUCUUUUUUUGUUUGUAUUUUUGGUGUCAUAUCUAAUAAAUUAUUCCCAAAUCCAAUAUCAGAAAGCUUUUCCCAUGUGUCCUUCUAAGAGCUGUAUACUUUGAGCCUUUACGUUUAGGUUGUUAACCCCUUUUUUCGUUAGUUUUUGUAUAUAGUAUAAGGUAAGGGUCUCACUUCAUUUCUUGCAGGUGGAUAUCCAGCUCUAUCAGCACUAUUUGUUGAAAGGACUGUCCUUUUCCCCAUUGAAUGGUCUUGGCACCAUUGUCAAAGAUCACUUGACCCUACAAGUGAGGGCGUAUGUCUGGGCUCUCUCUUCUAUUCUACUGGUCUGCAUGUCUGUCUUUAUGCCAGUAGCAUGCUGUUUUGAUUAAUUUCUCUUUGUAGUAAGUUUUGAAAUCAGCAAGUGUGGCUCUCAAACUUUCUUCUUGUUUUUCAAGAUUGUUUUGGCUACUCAGGUCCCUUGAGAUUCCAUAUGAAUUCUAGCAUGGGUUUUUCUACUCCUGCAAAAAAGUCAUUGGGAAUGUGUGACUGUAGUAGAAUGCCUGGCCUAAGUCUAAUUUAAAGAAAAAGAUCCAAAAGAGAUAUUCACACAUUUAAAAAAGACUAAAAUUGUCUUUGCACACAGCAGGGAUGAUGUGGCCUACAGUGAGGUCAGACGGUGGGGGAAACACAGGGCAGAAGCAAGAGUGAGUCACCCCAUCUCUGCCUCCUGGGCCGCCGUCCCUUGCAGACCUCCGAACGAAGUCAGCACGUGGAGUUGCAGAGUGUGGCUACGUACAUGUCCUAUUUACUGAGUCCUGUGAAACUUUGAAAAGUUGUCUGGCUCAACCUGUUGCCACUCACACAAGUCAAUUCUUCACAGAUUAGUCAGAGAACAAAGACGUGCGAGCAGGGGACGAAUUAACAUGAAGAAGGCUUUAUAUAGUUAACCUGGCAAAGAAAGUGAAAGGACCAUGAAGACACUGGUGGAACUUCCCAAGCCAGUGUAUCGGCCUCUGACCAGCCUCAUCUUAACCCAUCUCCUAUGGCAUGUACAAAAGGACCUUGAGGUGUGGGGCCUCUGCUUGCUAUAGGAAGAAAAAGAGGUUAAGUUUGUGUGACGUAACUGGAAUGGGCUGAGCCUCUUCCUAGCGGAGUGAAGUUCACUCGUGGGAGACACUGGCCAUCUGCCACCAUGUCUAGAGGAAACUUUUGCAUCUGGGCCGUUGAGUUCCUGCCUCUUUCACUAGAAGAAAAUGAAUGAACUGGCGAUUUACCACUUGCAUCUGGGCAGGGGACUUAGCACCAUGGGCACCUACAACGAGCACACGCACUGCCUACUAGCAGGUCUGGAUUGGUUCAACUCCUAAGGCACCCACAGGCCACGCUGGGCUCCGGUAUCCUCGGAAUCUUCUGGGAGCUCUGGAAAGGAGGACACAGCACCAAUUGUCAGCAUCACCCCUUCAGGCAUUUCUUCACUAAGGGAGCCAUGCAGCAAACCACACAGCUGUCUGUGAGCUUUCUUCCCCCAGGUGCAGGAUCCACCCUGGCUGAAAAGUCUUAUGUCCCAAGGACACCAGCGUAUGUUGUAAUAAUUCCAUGGAUCCACUUUAAGGACCCUGAUCGAAAUUAACAACUUUCCAAUCUUAAAUUUUCCAUUCCAUCAAAAUGGUACAUAUUUCCUUAUAUUUAGGACUUUCAGAUUUUCUCUCAGAAAACACUUUGCUGUAGGGAUUGACAAUUAACAGCCCAUGGGCCAAGAUUGUGCCGCAGCCUGUUUUUGUAAAGCCAAUGAGCUGAGGAUGGUGUUAACAACUAUUAAAGUUUGUUAAAAAAAAAAAAAAAAGAAAGAAAAGGAAAAAGAAGAAAAAGAAAAAUGGAGAAUAUGCAACAAGACCAUAUGUAACCUGCAAAGUCUGUGUUAUUUAUUAUCUGGCCCUUUACAGAAAAAUUUGCCAACACCUCUUUUGUAGUUGUAGUGGUGUUAGACAACACUUGCUAAUCUAUUCCUAAAUUUCUUCUAUGCUAUCACAAAUGGUACCUUUUAAAUUUUAGUUUUCAAUUAUUCAUUGGUAGAAAAUACAACUGAUUUUUAUAUGUUAACCUUGUAUGCUGGAUUUUGUCAUUUUUGUAGUGAAGUGUUUAAGCACACUUUAUAUAAAGAUAUUUCUAACAAUCUAUUUUCAAGAUUCAUUCAGCAAGUGUUAUUUUAGUGAAUGGAAGUAAUACCCAUUCUGUAGAACUUGUAGUAAUUAUUUCUAGUAUUUUCUUUGUAGAUUCCUUAGGAUUUUCUAAACACACAAUCAUGUUUUCAACGAAUAAAGAUAGUUUUACUUCCUUUUUAUUCUGUGGCCUUUUAUUUAUUUUUUAUACCUUUAUAGUUGCUAUAAUUACAGUAAAAUGUUGAGAAAAGGUAGAGCUAAUAGGCAUCUUUUUCCCACUCCUGAUCUUAAGGGAAAAGUGUUCAGCAAGCGAUUAAAUGAAGGUUUGUUGCACUUUAUCACUUGAAGGAAGUUUCCUCUAAUUACUAUUUUGCUGAAAGGGAUUUUCUAUUUCCUCUAAUUACUAUUUUUUGAAAGGGAUGUUCAAUUUUGUCAAUUACUUUGCCCACAGUUUUAAGAUAAUCACAUGGCUUUUCUCCUUUAUUUUCUAAAUGUGAUGAAUUACUUUGACUGCUUUCUGAGUGUUAAACCAAACUUGCAUGCUUGGCACAAAUCCCAUUGGUACUCCUAGAUCAUCAUUUUAUAUUUGGUUGGAUUAGAUUUCCUAAAAUGUAGUUAAAGAUUUUUUAUCUCUGUGUUCAUGAGGGAUAUUGAACUGUGAAUUUCUUUGUCAUUAGGUUUGGUAUUAGGAUAAUACUGGCCUAGAAGAAUGAGUUAGGAAAAAUUUCCUCCAUCUCUACUCUCUGAAAGAUUUUAUAUAACACUAGUAAAAUAUUGUCCUUACAAGUCUGAUAGAAUUCACCAGGAAAACCAUCUGGAUCUUUAGUUUUCAUCAUGGAAAGGAGUUUAGAGUCACUUGGCCACUUGUUGUCCUUUUAAUAUCUGUCAGAUCUGUAGUGAUGCACCCCUCUUUAUUCCUGAUGUUGGCCAUUUGAUUUUUUCCUUUCUAUUUCUUGAUAUAACUUGCUAGAGGUUUAUCAGUUUUAUUAAUCUUUUAAAAAUCCACAUUUAGCUUUGUUAAUUUUCUCUAAUACACAUUUUCUAUUUCUACUCUUCUACUAUUUCUUUAUCUCUCCUGACUUUGGUUUUAAUUUACUCUCCUAUUUCUCUAAUCUUAGGAUGGAAAACUAAAUCUUUGUUUUAAAAUCUUAUCUUUUGAUACAAGCACUUAACUCUGUAACAUUCUCUUAAGUACUGCUUGAGCUACAUCUCAAAAAUUUUGAUUUGCUGUGUUUUAGUUAUCAUUAAAUUCAAAAUGUUUUCUAAUUUUCCCAAUUUCUUCUUUGACCCAUUGGUUAAAUAGAAGUUUGUUUUAUUUACGCAUAUUUGAAUAUUUUCUAGAUAUCUUACUGGUUUUGAUUUCUACUUUAAUUCUAUUGCUGUCAGGUAAAAAUACUCUGCAUGAUUUCUCUCUCUUAAAAUUUGCCAAGACAUUUUUUUUUUUUUGCCCAGUAUAUGCUUAUCUUCAUGAACAUUCCACGUACAGUUGAAAAAGAAUAUGUAUUCAGUUAUUUUUGUGUACAAUAUUUUAUAAUAUUUGCUAUUUUAUUUAUUUUAUAAUUGCCAAUUAAAUGAAGAUAAAUCUUCUAUGCUCUUACUUGUUUUUGUCUACCUGUUCUAAUAAAUAUUGUGAGAGGGUUGUUAAAAUCUCAAACUAUUAUUGUAAUCUGUCUACUUUAGUUUGGACAGUUUUUGCCUUAUAUAUUUUGAAAUUCUGAUAUUAAGUGCAUAAACAUUUAAGAUAUUUUUAUCUUCCUAGUGAAUUGACCCUUUUGUCAUUAGAACACGUCCCUCUGUAUAGCCAGUAACAAUCCUUGUCUUGAAAUCUGAUUUGACUGAUGUUAAUUUAGCCCCAUCGUAUCUGUUAUUCUUAGAAUGACCAGCAUCCCAGGUUGCCAGGAAAUGUCCCGCUUUCAGCCCUGUAGUCCCACAUCCUGGAAAAACUCCCAAUUCCUGGCAAAAUGGGAACGUUAGUCACCGUUGUUAUCCUAGUGUUCGCAUGGUAUAUCUUGUUACAUCAUUUUGUUUUCAACCUCAUAUAAAACAAAUAUAGUUGGGUCUUGCUUUUGCUCAUCCAGUUAAGGAAACUCUGCCUUUUAAAUGGCGUGGUUGGUCCAAUUAUAUUUAAUGUGAUUACUUAUUUGGUUGCAUUCAAAUCUGCUAUCUAUGUAGUGUAGAAUAAUUCCAGGUGCUUCACAUCCUUGCUGACAUUUGCAAUGGCAGAUUUUUUCAAAUUUAUUCUGGUGACGUGUAGUGGUAUCUCACUGUGGUUUUUUUAUUUCCCUCGUUACUAACAAUGCUGAGCACUUUUCGUGUACUUAUUGGACAUUAGUGAAUAUUUUUUGGUAAGGGAUUGAUAACAUUUACUUUCUAGGGUUGCUUUAAGAGAUUUUGAACAUUGCAUAAAGCAUAAUGUUAGUACACAAUAAAUGCCAAG